rnacentral:rRNA from 1 species
AUGUUUUCCUCGCAGUCCAUGAGCCGCAUGAAUAACAUCAAGACGGCGCUCAUCAACGCGCAGAAGGGCAACCAGACGGUUGCCGCCUACUUCGCCUCUCUCCGUGGCCUCGCCGACGAGCUUGCCGCUGCGGGGAAGGCCAUCCAAGACGACGAACUCAUCUCCUACAUCAUCCACGGCCUCGACGUCGACUACCAGCCCCUCGUCUCCGCCCUCGACGCACGCGUCACGCCGGUCUCCCUCGACGAGCUCUACGCCAUGCUCAGCAACUUCGACCAGCGCAUGGCCCAGUUUAAU